UACGGAGGGUGCAAGCGUUAUCCGGAUUCACUGGGUUUAAAGGGUGCGUAGGUGGGCAGGUAAGUCAGUGGUGAAAUCUCCGGGCUUAACCCGGAAACUGCCAUUGAUACUAUUUGUCUUGAAUACCGUGGAGGUUAGCGGAAUAUGUCAUGUAGCGGUGAAAUGCUUAGAUAUGACAUAGAACACCAAUUGCGUAGGCAGCUUACUACACGAUCAUUGACGCUGAGGCACGAAAGCGUGGGGAGCAAACAGG
rnacentral:rRNA from 1 species